UGAAAUCUUACCACCAUUUUAUGGGCUAUCAGGUCAAGUUAAUUAUAAUAAAUAUCCAUCUUAAAUUCUCAUCAAAGGGCUUCGUUACUGAAGCAGCAUUUUCUUAAGUGAUCCCUUAGCACAGACCCAUUACUCUGGGUGAGCUAAAAAUAAGGAGUUCACCUUUCUGUCCUGGGUGGCCAGACAGAUCUAAAUCUAUUUGGAAUAAAGCCUCAGGCUAAAAGCUAAAAGCCAACAGUUCCCAAAUGAGAAAUGAUAUCUUCCCUGAAGAGUGGGAAGGAGAAACGAGCUGAAAUGCUAGUGCAACACUGGACACAGUAGAUGUGAACAAUUUUGGUUCUAAGGAGCAAGCCUUGUGCACAGCGGCAGCUGUUUCACUUCAAUUGACCUGAUGCCACACCAGAGUUUGAUUUCAAAAAGAGCCACAGGACAUUUGAAUCUCAACUGGGCACCGGGGAACAAAAUGGAAGUCAAGUUCAAGUUAUAAAAAGACUGAUGUCUCAGCACCUAAUUCUAAUCUAAUGAAAUCCUUAUUGGGUAGCAACAAGAGGAAGAAAGAAUGAGGCACACGUGAUAGCGCUGUCAUGGACACCAUGGGUGCAAAAAUGAGGAUACUGAGACUCAAAGUGGUGAAGAGACUUAUCCAAUGUCAUAAGCUGGGAGCUAGGGUAUGACCCAAGCAGAACCUGUACACUGGAGCCCAGGAUUACUGACAAAGGACACACCUUCUCUAGCCCCUCCUGGUGG
rnacentral:lncRNA from 10 species